AUUUUUAAAAUCCUCCCACCAACCUGCCAAAUCACAGGAUGGAGUUACUCAGUGUCUCCUUUCCAUUGAAUGUUUUGCCACAUGCAAACUUUCCUCUUCUGUCUCAGUGUACUGUGUUUUGCUAGGCUUACUUGCAAAGGUUAAAAGAAUGGAGUGUACUGGAGUCAGGAAGGCUCAGUGUCUGUUGGAGGUGAAGUCACCAGCAUUGCAUUUCUCCACCAGUCACAACUGAUAAGUUCAAAACCACAUCAGGCAGGCAACUACUAAGAACAGAAAGUACCAUCUCUGCCAUGAUAAAUCACCCCCAGGAAAACCAGCUUAUCCCAGCUCAGGGUGGCCACAAAACCAACAUUCCAAAAUCAGAACAGCAGAACUGGCAUCAGCCUGUUUCAGCUGCUUCCCCCAAUGCUUGAAGGGAAGCAAGCUGCACUGAAUGCCUGCUUGAAGGAUGGGCAGAGGUGAGGGUCAGCACCAACUAGCCAUGGAAAUGAAAAAUGCCAACCUGAGAGGUUAGGAAGGAACCAGACCUGGGCCUCACACCACUAAAGGCAGGUUUCCAGAGGUGCAAGCCACAGAGACCUGGUACACUCUGCUGAUUCAGUGCAAGUGGAGCCUAAUCCUGAG